GGGUAUGUAGCUCAGUGGUACAGCACAUACUUAGCAUGUGUGAGACCCUGGGUUCAAUCCCUAGCACUGUUA
rnacentral:tRNA from 1 species